AUUACGUUUUUGGUCGUGAUACGCGUUGGUUCUGUUCAGCGGACUAUUUUCGGUAAUAACGUGUGCGCGUUAGUAAGUGUAUAGUGUCUGUGUAAGAAACAAAAAAUAUAUAUUUUUUAGUGUACCACAUCAAAAAAUUGUCUUCAAUUCGUCUUGAUUAAACUAAAAUUUUCAACAAAAUAUUUAUGUUUAUGUGUAAAAAGUUUUAAACGACAUAUAAAAAAAUAAAAGUGAAAGUAAAAAAAAGAAAAAUUCAAUAGAAACGGCAUUCCAAUAACUUUUAAUUCCCCCCUUAUUUAAGGAAGGGGUUUCGUUUUAAAAACUCAACAUUUAAGGAACGCAAGUUCUUCACACACAACCAACACACACAAAUUCGACAAAAUGGGGCGGCAGUCGUCUAGUACGCUGGCCGUCGUCCUGCUGGUUGCUGUUUUAGGCACCACAACUGCAAUAAUAAAUUCACCGCCUCGCAUUAUCAAACAACCGCCCACAGAUGAACUGCUAUUUAAAGUUGCUCAACAAAAUAAAGAAAGUGAUAAACCCUUCAUCAUCGAAUGCGAAGCAGAAGGACAACCUGAUCCAACUUACCGAUGGGUGAAAAACGGCAAAAAAUUCGAUUGGCAAGCAUACGAUAAUCGUAUGUUGCAGCAACCUGGACGUGGUACCUUGGUUAUUACUUCACCAAAAGAUGAAGAUUUGGGUCAGUACCAGUGUUUUGCCGAAAACGAAUUCGGUAUUGCCACAUCAAACUCUGUGUUCGUACGCAAGGCUGAACUGAAUGCAUUCAAAGAUGAAGCUGCCAAAACCGUAGAAGCCAAUGAGGGUGAACCUUUCUCGCUGCAGUGUGAAGCACCUGACGGUUGGCCAAAGCCCACAGUCAAUUGGUUAAUACAACAGUCCAUCGAUGGUAAUAUCAAAUCGAUAAAUAACUCUCGCAUGACUUUGGAUCCCGAAGGCACAUUGUGGUUCUCGAAUGUUACACGAGAAGAUGCCAGUGAUGAUUUCUAUUAUGCUUGCUCUGCUACCUCAGUGUUCCGUAGUGAGUACAAGAUUGGUAAUCGUGUGCUCUUGGAUGUUAAGCAGACCGGCAUUAGUGCUUCCCAAAAUAAAUUCGCUCCCAGAAAACAGUAUGUAACACGUAAGAAUGAAGUUGCUCUAAGAGGUAAACGUGCAGAACUCUUUUGUAUAUAUGGAGGAACGCCAUUACCGCAAACCGUGUGGAAGAAAAAUGGCGGACCGAUAGAGUGGAGUGAUCGAAUAACCCAGGGUCAUUAUGGCAAAUCAUUGGUUAUACGCCAUGUUAAUUUCGAUGAUAAUGGUACCUAUACUUGUGAUGUUUCCAACGGUGUGGGUAACGCUCAAUCUUAUUCCAUUAACCUACAAAUCAACGCCAUUCCCUACUUUACUGUGGAACCUGAAAUGCAAAAUGCUGCCGAAGAUGAAACUGUCGAAUUUCGUUGCGAAGCUGCUGGUUCUCCCGAGCCCACGAUUCAAUGGAUUCACAAUGGUAAACCCAUUAGUCAAGCCCCGCCCAAUCCCAGACGUAUCGUGGAAACCAAUCGCAUUAUUAUUCGCGAUUUGUUGAAAUUGGACACUGGUAAUUAUGGUUGUAACGCUACCAAUUCUUUGGGCUAUGUUUACAAAGAUGUCUACUUGAAUGUCUUGGCCUUGCCGCCAGAGAUUGAGGAGCCUCCUCGCAAAGAAGCUACUGUUGAUGGCAAGAACGUAACCAUGCGUUGUCGUGUGUUCGGUGCUCCCAAGCCUCAAGUUAAAUGGAUUCGUAAUGGUCUCGAAUUGACUGGUGGUCGUUACACAGUAUUACCAUCGGGAGACUUACAAAUCGAACAAGUCAGCUUCAAUGACGCCGGCCAAUAUACUUGCUUCGCUAAGAACAAAUUCGGAGAGAAAUCAGCGAACGGUUCGUUGAUUGUUAAAGAGCACACACGUAUCACCCAAGAACCACAAAACUACGAAGUAGCCGCUGGUCAGUCCGCCACUUUCCGCUGUAACGAAGCUCACGAUGACACAUUAAAUUUGACAAUUGAGUGGUGGAAGGAUUCCCAGCAAAUCGAUUUCGAAGCUGAAGCCCGUUUUGUAAAAACCAAUGAUAACUCGCUGACAAUUGCCAAGACCAUCGAGCUGGAUUCGGGCGAAUAUACUUGUGUGGCCCGAACAGAAUUGGAUGAAGCCUCCGCCAAAGCAAAUCUGAUUGUCCAAGAUGUUCCGAAUGCCCCUCUUCUCUCUGGAGUUAAAUGUAUGGAACGCCAUGCUGAAGUUAACUGGGAACCACAGGGUGACAAUCGUUCUCCCAUUUUGCAUUAUACCAUUCAGUAUAAUACCUCCUUUACACCAGCCUCUUGGGACGUUGCCUUUGAAAAGGUGCCUUCUACUGAUUUCUCCUUUACGGUCGAUAUGUCACCUUGGACGAAUUACACCUUCCGUGUGAUUGCUUUCAACAAAAUCGGUGCUUCGCCUCCAUCGAGCCACAGUGAAACUUGCACAACACAACCCGACGUUCCCUACAAAAAUCCCGAUAAUGUUGCUGGUCAAGGUAAAGAACCCAACAAUUUGAUAAUCACCUGGACUCCAAUGCCUGAGCUAGAACACAAUGCACCCAAUUUCCAAUACCGUGUGUCUUGGAAACGUGAUAUUCCUGCAGCAUCUUGGGAAAACAAGGACAUCUAUGAUUGGAAGCAAGAUAGUUUGGUAAUUACCGAUCAACCCACAUUUGUGCGUUACAUCAUUAAAGUUGCUGCCAUUAACGAACGCGGUGAAGCAAAUGUAGCCGCUGAAGAAAUUAUUGGAUAUUCCGGCGAAGACCGUCCUUUGGAAGCUCCCACAAAUUUCAGUAUGAUCCAAGUAACCGGUGCCACUUCAGCCAUCUUAGGCUGGAACCCCGUAAGUGCUGAAUCAAUCCGUGGUCACUUUAAGGGAUACAAGAUUCAAACAUGGACUGAAAAGGAGGGUGAAGAAGGCUUACGUGAAAUUCACGUUAAGGGUGAUUCUAACCAAGCUUUGGUAACACAAUUUAAACCAGAUUCCAAGAACUUUGCUCGUGUUUUGGCCUACAAUGGACGAUUCAAUGGUCCCGCUAGUGCCGUUAUUGAUUUUGAUACACCUGAAGGCGUUCCGUCCCCCGUAGAAUCACUUGAAGCUUAUCCUAUGGGCUCCUCUGCUUUCUGGUUGGUCUGGAAGAAACCCUUAAAUCCCAAUGGAAAACUUACUGGCUACAGAGUAUAUUAUGAAGAAGUGAAAGGCAGCUAUGUGGGUGAAAGACGUGAAUAUGAUCCUCAUAUUACUGAUCCAAAUGUGACAAGUAUGAAAAUGGCCGGUUUGAAACCAAACACAAAAUAUCGCAUUUCUAUUGCCGCUACCACUAAAGUAGGAGAGGGUUCAGAGCAUUUCAUUGAAAAACGAACUUUGUCAGAAGAUUCACAAGCACCAGCUGUGCCCUUCUUUGAAUAUCAACAAUUGCCUUCAGAAAAUGGCUUAGCCAAGUUCCGUGUCAACUGGAAACCAAAUACUGAAGGACAUGCUGGUACACAUUUCUUCACGCAAUACAGAAUUAAAGGCGAAACAGAAUGGAAUAAGGCUCCAGAAGAAAAAAAUCGUGAUUAUCAAGAAGUGGCCGGUUUAGAUCCCGAUACAGUCUAUGAAUUCCGCGUAGUGGCAGUUGACGGUCAUUUUAUGACUGAAAGUGCCGCACAGGAGGUUGACACCAAUGGUGUCGAUGGUCCUAUCAAAGUUCCAAAUGAAAAUCUUGCAAAUGCCGGCUGGUUUAUCGGCAUGAUGUUGGCGUUAGCCAUCAUAAUCAUAUUAUUUAUUAUUAUUUGUAUUAUCCGUCGCAAUCGUGGAGGCAAAUACGAUGUUCAUGAUCGUGAAUUGGCCAAUGGCAGACGAGACUACCCAGAUGAAGGUGGUUUCCAUGAAUACUCACAGCCUUUGGAUAAUAAGAGCGCUGGUCGUCAAUCUGUAAGUUCAGCCAAGCCAGGUUUGGAAAGUGAUACAGAUUCUAUGGCUGAAUACGGGGAUGGUGAUACAGCAGGUGCACGUAAAGUAAAUCAAACUUUACCUACUUUAUCAGAACAUAUAGAUGAGGCUUCAUCGUAUGGUGUUAAAAAAUAAUAGAUUUUUUUAUCUAUACCACAAUACAUACAUAUAAUAAAUUUUGUAAAAAUUGUAAGGCAUGAAUGAAGAUGGUUCAUUUAUAGGUCAAUAUGGACGUAAAGGACUUUGAUUUAGUUUAAAAUAAAUACAAAAAAAUAUAAAUUUAAAGAAAAACCAGCAACCCCCCUUACAAACCAUUAUAUAAACUACAAAAAUAUUGCGAUCCAGCAAAUUCCAAAUUAAUAAUUAAACAACAAUCAUCACUCUCAAAAUUAAAUUAUAUGAUUAUUAUUUUACAAAAAUCAACUGCCAGCAGCUACAUAUUGUUUACGUUUAAUAAUAUAAAAAGAAAAUCUCGAAAAAACAUUUAAAAAGAAACGAAUAACAAUUGGAUAUCUAAACGUCAUAUGUUCUAUUAGUUUUUUACAAAUUAUUGGCGUCAAUUUACUGAAGAUGGUUCUUUUAUUGGACAGUAUGUACCAGGUAAACUGCAGCCUCCUGUAAGUCCACAACCCGUUAACAAUACACCUGCGGCACAUACACCUACAGCGCCUCCAGCUCCAACACAGCAGAAUGCUGCGGGAAAUAAUGCAAAUACUACAGCUGCCGUAGCUACUUAUGUCUAAAUCUAAUUCCUAAAAAUGUUUCUUAUACAAAUUAUAAGAAAUAAACCUAAAAAAACAAAGCGCAAUUUCUGCAAGAAGAAUUAAAAAUGCAAAUUAUAUUUAAAAACAAAUAUUAAUAUGCUUUUUCAAAUAUGCUUAAUUAUAUUAAAAAAACAAUUAAAAUUUUUUGGUAUUCUCUUAUUUUAAUGGCAAAUUUUCUAAGACAUGCAGCUUUUUUAAAAAUAUUUUUUUUUAAGGAAAAGAACAAGAAAUUUAACAAACAUUCUAAAUUUUUAGUCCGUAAACCUUUUCAAAAGCCUUUAACGAAAUUAAUAAAAUAUGUAUAAUAAUACACAGUAAAACAAAUAAUAACAAUUAGGUUUAUAGUACGUAUAUAUAAUAUUACAACAAAUGUGUGUGUGUUUAAUUUUUUUUAUAAGUUUAAUAAAAUUUUAAAUUACUAAAAUGCAUUAAUAAAUAUACAUAUUAGGGUUUUUAUUCAGUCGUUGUUCCCCACUAAAAUUAAUAUUUUAAAAUAUGUAUGUUCCAAUAUUUAAUUAUGGAAAAUUUUAAAAGUAAUAGAUUGUCAUUAGAUUAUUCUGUGUAAAUUUACUCAAAUUCGUAAAAAAAGUGUAUCUAAAAAAAUAUUAUUUUAAAAAAAUUUAAGGGAACAUCCAACGAUUAGUUCGUCACCCUGAUAUGCAUUAUUAUAAAUAUAAAAUAUGAAUUUUAACAUCAAGAAUCUCAAUAUGUUUUUGCAAUGUCUACUAUUUUUGAUUUUUAAUUCUUCAUUUAUUAUAGUUAUUUUAUAAGAAGUAUUUAAAUAAAUGUACAUUAUAUAAGUUGAAUAAUAAAAUAUUAACAUAUUGUAUAAAAUACAUACUAUGUU